rnacentral:rRNA from 1 species
UACAGAGGGUGCGAGCGUUAAUCGGAAUUACUGGGCGUAAAGCGUGCGUAGACGGUCAAGUAAGUCGGGUGUGAAAGCCCCGGGCUCAACCUGGGAAUUGCAUUCGAGACUGCGUGGCUAGGGUGCGGAAGAGGGAAGCGGAAUUUCCGGUGUAGCGGUGAAAUGCGUAGAUAUCGGAAGGAACACCAGUGGCGAAAGCGGCUUCCUGGUCCAGCACCGACGUCAGGCACGAAAGCGUGGGGAG